GGCUGGGUAGCUCAGUUGGUAGAGCAUUGCAUUCAUCACGCAAAGGUCGCGGGAUCGUGCCCCGCCUCAGCCACCA
rnacentral:tRNA from 1 species